rnacentral:rRNA from 1 species
AGAGUUUGAUCCUGGCUCAGGACGAACGCUGGCGGCGUGCUUAACACAUGCAAGUCGAACGGUGAAGCCCUUCGGGGUGGAUCAGUGGCGAACGGGUGAGUAACACGUGAGCAACCUGCCCUUCACUCUGGGAUAACUAUCGGAAACGGUGGCUAAUACCGGAUAUGACGCAUCCAGGCAUCUGGUGUGUGUGGAAAGUUUUUCGGUGGGGGAUGGGCUCGCGGCCUAUCAGCUUGUUGGUGGGGUGAUGGCCUACCAAGGCGACGACGGGUAGCCGGCCUGAGAGGGCGACCGGCCACACUGGGACUGAGACACGGCCCAGACUCCUACGGGAGGCAGCAGCGGGGAAUAUUGCGCAAUGGGCGGAAGCCUGACGCAGCGACGCCGCGUGGGGGAUGAAGGCCUUCGGGUUGUAAACCUCUUUCAGCAGGGAAAAAACUCGGGGCUUAACUCCGGGCCUGCAGUGGGUACGGGCAGACUAGAGUGCGGUAGGGGAGACUGGAAUUCCUGGUGUAGCGGUGAAAUGCGCAGAUAUCAGGAGGAACACCGGUGGCUAAGGCGGGUCUCUGGGCCGUAACUGACGCUGAGGAGCGAAAGCGUGGGGAGCGAACAGGAUUAGAUACCCUGGUAGUCCACGCCGUAAACGUUGGGCGCUAGGUGUGGGGCUCUUUCCACGAGUUCCGUGCCGCAGCAAACGCAUUAAGCGCCCCGCCUGGGGAGUACGGCCGCAAGGCUAAAACUCAAAGGAAUUGACGGGGGCCCGCACAAGCGGCGGAGCAUGCGGAUUAAUUCGAUGCAACGCGAAGAACCUUACCAAGGCUUGACAUGGGCGGUAAUCCGGCAGAGAUGUCGGGUCCGUAAGGGCCGUUCACAGGUGGUGCAUGGUUGUCGUCAGCUCGUGUCGUGAGAUGUUGGGUUAAGUCCCGCAACGAGCGCAACCCUCGUUCCAUGUUGCCAGCACGUUAUGGUGGGGACUCAUGGGAGACUGCCGGGGUCAACUCGGAGGAAGGUGGGGAUGACGUCAAAUCAUCAUGCCCCUUCUGUCUUGGGCUUCACGCAUGCUACAAUGGCCAGUACAAAGGGCUGCGAGACCGUGAGGUGGAGCGAAUCCCAAAAAGCUGGUCUCAGUUCGGAUCGGGGUCUGCAACUCGACCCCGUGAAGUCGGAGUCGCUAGUAAUCGCAGAUCGGCAACGCUGCGGUGAAUACGUUCCCGGGCCUUGUACACACCGCCCGUCACGUCACGAAAGUCGGUAACACCCGAAGCCGGUGGCCUAACCCGUGAGGGAGGGAACUGUCGAAGGUGGGACUGGCGAUUGGGACGAAGUCGAACAAGGUA